rnacentral:rRNA from 1 species
GACGAACGCUGGCGGCGUGCCUAAUACAUGCAAGUAGAACGCUGAAGGAGGAGCUUGCUUCUCUGGAUGAGUUGCGAACGGGUGAGUAACGCGUAGGUAACCUGCCUGGUAGCGGGGGAUAACUAUUGGAAACGAUAGCUAAUACCGCAUAAUAGUAGAUGUCGCAUGACAUUUGCUUAAAAGGUGCAAUUGCAUCACUACCAGAUGGACCUGCGUUGUAUUAGCUAGUUGGUGAGGUAACGGCUCACCAAGGCAACGAUACAUAGCCGACCUGAGAGGGUGAUCGGCCACACUGGGAGUGAGACACGGCCCAGACUCCUACGGGAGGCAGCAGUAGGGAAUCUUCGGCAAUGGACGGAAGUCUGACCGAGCAACGCCGCGGGAGUGAAGAAGGUUGUCGGAUCGUAAAGCUCUGUUGUAAGAGAAGAACGAGUGUGAGAGUGGAAAGUUCACACUGUAACGGUAGCUUACCAGAAAGGGACGGCUAACUACGUG